UACGAACCGUGCGAACGUUAUUCGGAAUCACUGGGCUUAAAGCGCGUGUAGGCGGGUCGGCACGUCGGUCGCUGAAAUCCCCCGGCUCAACCGGGGAAGGGGCGCCGAUACGACCGGCCUGGAGGGGCGUAGGGGGGGCUGGAACUUCCGGUGGAGCGGUGAAAUGCGUUGAGAUCGGAAGGAACGCCCGUGGCGAAAGCGAGCCCCUGGACGUCUACUGACGCUGAGACGCGAAAGCCAGGGGAGCGAACGGG
rnacentral:rRNA from 1 species